rnacentral:rRNA from 1 species
GAUGAACGCUAGCGGCAGGCCUAACACAUGCAAGUCGAGGGGGAGGUUACUUUCGGGUAACUGAGACCGGCGUACGGGUGCGUAACGCGUAUACAAUCUGCCUUUCACUGGGGGAUAGCCCGAAGAAAUUUGGAUUAAUACCCCAUAGUAUAGUAAUACGGCAUCGUGAUGCUAUUAAAGCUUAGGUGGUGAAAGAUGAGUAUGCGUUCUAUUAGCUAGUUGGAGAGGUAACGGCUCCCCAAGGCGAUGAUAGAUAGGGGUUCUGAGAGGGAUGUCCCCCACACUGGUACUGAGAUACGGACCAGAGUCCUACGGGAGGCAGCAGUGAGGAAUAUUGGACAAUGGUCGGAAGACUGAUCCAGCCAUGCCGCGUGCAGGAUGAAGGUCUUAUGGAUUGUAAACUGCUUUUGUAAGGGAAGAAUAAGGGCUACGCGUAGUUUGAUGACGGUACCUUACGAAUAAGCAUCGGCUAACUCCGUG